CGUUGAAAACAGCUCUCUGAGAGAAUUUCACCCCAGUCCCAUCGGCGCGGUUGCAGAACAGCCACCCGCAGCAGAUGAGCUUUCUGCCAGCAGGGACUGCACCUGUCAGAACGUGGAGGGGGAUUCUGUGAGCCCCUGUCUACCACUGAAGCCCCAGAGAGCAGGGCCGUUAUGAUUUUACGAAGUUCUCGGAGGAACAUUAUUGGGGUGAGGUAAUCCCUUACACAGCAGCAGAUCCAGCUGGAGCUGGGCGUGCGAGCACGUGCCUGCCUUGCCCCGCAGGAUGGGCUGAGCUGCCCUCCCUGCCAGGGUGUGAGCUCUGCUUCGUGGUAGACCCUUGCCAUCACACACAUUCUGUCUGUCUUCCAGGCCUCCACACAUGCCACAAGCAUUUUUCCUAAUCACAUUUAUCAUGCAGCAGCACAACCCUGCAUCCCCCCAGCGCUGGAUCAGAUGCUUCACUGAUGCCUGGUCCGGCUGGGUUGGUGACACUGACUGAGAUACUGUUCCUCUUCCCAGACUGGCUGGGGAACUCAAAAUGUGAAAAUUACCCACCAAAGAAAGCUUGGCAUUAAAGUCUGUGAAAUCAGGGAAGCCAAACCUGCAGUCCUGAGGUCCUGAAGGCCAGCAGAACCCAGCCCAACAUGACAAGGCUCUGCAUGAAUCCUGGAUCUCUGUGAAUAGAUGGAAUUGAAAUUGAAGGAUACCAUCCAAAUAGCAUCCUGCCUCUGGACACCUUCUGAGACAUGCCACAGUCUGAACAUGCUGAGCAGCACUUCUGCCCAAGAGCUGCCUCCCAAGCCACAGCCUGCUGCAGAGCUGACAGCCCUGGCAAGGGUGAAAGGGAGGCUCAGACAUGAGGAUGCUGCUCUACAAACAGGGAUCCUAAGCAAGUACUGUUUUCUGCUGCAUCCAUCACACCCCAAGGACAUCACAUGCAGACAGAUGCCAGGGUCUUCAGUGAGGAUCAGCCUUUGAAGACCAUCAGCGCAACUUGGCAUCACUUUGGCUGCUGGAUGCUUCUGGAGAGCAAAUACCUUCAGUUCUGGAGGUAUUAGCCUGCAGAGGGAAGUAGGAGCAGUUUGACAGCCUGACUCAUGAACUUUGUAUUAUUAUUACUGGUUGUGAAACUAUGAUAGGAUCCAGGAGCCUGAAACACGGAUCAGGAAUGUGGUUUUGAAGAGAAACUCCUGGCCUUCCUGCUUUGGCUUGUGUUACAAGGCAGUCUCAAGGCAGGCACACACAGGGUUUUUUUUCAACAGCAGCUAAACUGGAAGCUGUGAAGGGUGGCAGGUCCCUGGGAGUGGGAUAGAGGCAUCCUAAAAAUUAUCAGCUAAAAUAUGUGUGGUGUGGAUGGCAGGUUCUCAACUCCAGGGUGUUGCUCCAUGAAUCUGCUCUGUCCUGAACCUCCCUGCUUUCGAGCACCAGCACAGCCAGAUCCUGCACAGGAUAUGCAGUCAGCAGGAAUAUUGGCUGCUUUACUUUCUCUUCCUGAGGUUACUGAAAGGCUGUGGGUGUUGCAGAAUAGAUGCAAAGCAGAGCCACUGCUUUAGGUGUUUUCAUUCUGGUUCUCAGUAGCAUGAUGGUUGUUGUUGGUGGUAUUAUUAUCUUAUAAAUAUAACUACAUGUAAGAAGUUGAAGGAUGAGGAACUCGAAGAAACUGAUAAAUAAUGUUGUGACAAAGAGGAAAAUAUCUGAAAUGUUUCCCAUUAAUAUAGCUGCUUUUUUUUUAGGUGUCUUAUUUUCUAGAGCAACACAGCCUGUCAAAAGAUCUGAUAAGAACACAUAACAUUACAUAAAACACCAGGGAGCCACUUUAUAAGGUAAUAUUCCUUGCGUAGCUUUCUUCCAUCAGAAAGCAGUUUAUCCAGUGUAAUGGUAGGAUUAAAACAAAUAGAUUUACAGAAGAGAAAAGAUGGAGAUCCCUGUUUGCCACAGACUGUAAUGGGAGUCAGGGCAACUUCAGAGACUGAAGGGACUUGUAGGUAGGAUGUGGUGUAGAGUUUGCCUUCUUAAAGUUGAAGAACAAGGGACAUGCUGCCUAGUAAAGAUGUUGAAGAGCAAGAGAGUUUCUUUGUUCAGAUUGUUAGAGUUUAGAUUGACCUGCAGGAGAUUGGACUCACAUUGUUACAAGAGGGGGCCCUGGGUGCAUGAGGCAUUGUGCCUAGCUAGGGGGAAACACUACAGCUUAUCUUGACCACAGUAGCUCAAGCCCUGGAAGUCCUCCUGAGAGCAGCACUGUGCUGCAAUAAAAUACCUUUAUCCCACUUUGCAUGCUGAGGUAGGGAAAUGUGGUUCAGGAAGAGGACUUUGUUGGAGACUUUAGUGCUUGUGGAAGAUCUCUCCACUGCGUACCAUUUUGUUCAAGACAUUUUACUCUCCUCUAAACUCUUCAGGCUGUAAUGUACAUGAGGGCUACCCAGGCUCCCAGUCAUCUUGAUUUAAGCACUUCUACCACUACCCUCAUCCUCUAUAUAUAAUGUUUUAACUCUUCUCCACAUCUUUUAGUAGUAUGAAGAAAAUUCAAAGAUGAAAAUAGUUUUUGAAAUCAUAGAAUGUUGGACCUACAAUGUAUUACCGUACUUUAUUGAUAAUGUUGUUUCCAUAAUAAAAAUAUUUAGUACAAAGUAUGAUAUCCUGCAUGAGUUUCACAUAAAUAUUUCCACUAUAUAACUGAUAGGGAUCAGAAAAAUUUCAGUAUGCACAUGCUGCAAAUGCAAGUGUAAUUGAUACAAGGUAUGUAUCUUGAUGUACAUCUUGAGUAAACAUAAGAAAACCAUAGCUUAAUGAAAAACAGACUGUGUCUUACAUCGUGCAAUCGUGCUUUUACAUCUAAACUGGACCUUGGGUUUAGAAAACAAAUCUUAAAUCAGUCCUAUUCAGAGGACAAAUCACAGUUCACAUACUUGCAAAAAACUUUUGUUUUAGGAAAGCCUUUUGUGGAAAAGCUUGGGAACCUCCAUACAGCUACAGUGGUGGAGGGGUGGGAAAGGAUAGAUUGAGGUAUCAGUUCAAACAAUCUGAGGAAAAAGUUGAAUAAACAUUGAAGACAACAGAAUAGAAACCAGACGCCAAAUAUUAAUUCAUAGGAUCUUCAAAGGGGAUUUUGAGGUUUAUUUUAAUUGUCGUUGAAAG